rnacentral:lncRNA from 1 species
AUGCUGAUGAGAAAGCAGAGUCUCAGAAUCACUGUGAGCUUGGCAGGCAUGGAGCACCAGCCCUCACCUGGAAGGCUGCUGUCCUCCAGAGUGGUCUGGGACAGAGGGACAUCAAUGAGCCAAGAGAGAAGCCAAAAAUUGACCCGGCACAGGAUGAAACCCUUGUCACCAAAGCUCCUUCUUCAUAGCCUCAGGUCUGGUUCUGCUUUUGCCUGCACCACUUCAGCCUUCCCUGGCCCAGGGUCAGAAUUGGAUGUGGUCAGGAAGCCAUCCUUUGCAAAUCUGCUGGAGUCCUUUGGAGAAGCCAUGGAAAAUGUGCAGAGAGGAGGUCAGCUGAUAAGUUUUUGGUUUUCAUUUUCAACAGCAUCACUCCACAGAGGCUCAUAAGGAAUUGAAGUGACAUGAAAGAAGUGGUAGGAAAAAAGCUUUACCCUCUUAUGAUUAAAGGUUAGGAAACAGUUGUGAAUGAUUCGUAAAUUUUUUUCAACAGAAUAAUAUUUCCAAUGAAAUCUCACAGAAACUUAUUUGUAAGGUAUUGCAUAUUUGUAAAUUAUUUAGAAAAGCAGUGGAUGCCAAGGCAUCAAAGUGUAUUGCUGGUCUGGGUUUCUCAGGAAUGUAAAGAAAAGUGCAUAUGAGGAUUUCAGGAGGAGUUCGGA